rnacentral:rRNA from 1 species
CCUACGGGAGGCAGCAGUGGGGAAUAUUGCACAAUGGGGGAAACCCUGAUGCAGCGACGCCGCGUGAGUGAAGAAGUAAUUCGUUAUGUAAAGCUCUAUCAGCAGGGAAGAAAAUGACGGUAACUGAGUAAGACGCCCCGGCUAACCACGUGCCAGCAGCCGCGGUAAUACGUAGGGGGCAAGCGUUAUCCGGAUUUACUGGGUGUAACGGGAGCGUAGACGGCAGUGCAAGUCUGGAGUGAAAGGCGGGGGCUCAACCCCCGGACUGCUCUGGAAACUGUACGGCUGGAGUGCAGGAGAGGUAAGUGGAAUUCCUAGUGUAGCGGUGAAAUGCGUAGAUAUUAGGAGGAACACCAGUGGCGAAGGCGGCUUACUGGACUGUAACUGACGUUGAGGCUCGAAAGCGUGGGGAGCAAACAGGAUUAGAUACCCCAGUAGUC